GGCAGGUGUGUGCCGCAGGUGGCCUUCCGAAGCACUGAACAGUGAGUCAGGUAAAGGGAUGAUGCUGAGUAGCUCUGAUUUCAGCAUGGAUUCCAAGAUUAAAGCUAGAUUCAUUUAAUAACAGAUUGGUGCCUAACCCAGCUGUCGUCAGAGAGGCUUCCUCCAGCAACUGACGGAAACAGAUGCAGAGACAGACCCACAGACAUACAUUAGACUGAGCGUGGGAAAUCCUGCUGAAGAAAAGGAUUGUAGGAGCCAGAGGGGUCAAGGAUGUCAGGAAAAGCCACAGAAUUGACUAAGCUGGCUCAUAGGAGCUCACAGAGUCUGAACUGACAACCAGAAAACCUGCAUGGGAUUGAGUUAGGCCCUCUGUAUACAUGGGACAGUUGUAUAGCUUGGUCCUCUUGUGGGUGGGAGCAGGGCCUGUCUGUCUCUGACUCUUAAUACAGGGGGAGAUGCUUAGUCUUACUGCAACUUGAUAUUCCAUGUUUCUUUUAUACAUGGGGGCCUGUGCUUUCCUAAACAAACUGAGGAGGCAAAAGACCCCAUACACACAGUUAAAAUAAAUUCUGUUCUGCCGGGUGUCCUACUCAGGAUUGCCACUACUAUUGGCUCCCAAAGCCUAAUUUAAUUCUAAAAAUUCAUUAUGGAAUGAAGUAAUAUUUUCUUAGUGGAUUAGUCUUAGUUUGGCAGUAACUU